GAUGAACGCUAGCGGCAGGCUUAAUACAUGCAAGUCGAGGGGUAGCAAGAUUGUAGCAAUACAAUUGUUGACGACCGGCAAACGGGUGCGGAACACGUACACAACCUUCCUACAAGUGGGGAAUAGCCCAGAGAAAUUUGGAUUAAUACCCCGUAACAUAGCGAUGUGGCAUCACAUUGCUAUUAUAGCUUCGGCGCUUGUUGAUGGGUGUGCGGCUGAUUAGAUAGUUGGCGGGGUAACGGCCCACCAAGUCUACGAUCAGUAGCUGAUGUGAGAGCAUGAUCAGCCACACGGGCACUGAGACACGGGCCCGACUCCUACGGGAGGCAGCAGUAAGGAAUAUUGGACAAUGGACGCAAGUCUGAUCCAACCAUGCCGCGUGAAGGAUUAAGGUCCUCUGGAUUGUAAACUUCUUUUAUAAGGGACGAAAAAAGGUCUUUCUAGAUCGUCUGACGGUACCUUACGAAUAAGCACCGGCUAACUCCGUGCCAGCCGCCGCCGUAAAAC
rnacentral:rRNA from 1 species